rnacentral:rRNA from 1 species
GACGAACGCUGGCGGCGUGGAUUAGGCAUGCAAGUCGAACGGUAGGAUACCUUCGGGUAUCUGAGAGUGGCGAACGGGUGAGUAACACGUAGGUGAUCUACCCUCAAGAUUGGGACAACCCAGGGAAACUUGGGCUAAUACCGGAUGAAAGCAGCAGUGAUGUUGUUUGAAAGGUGGCGUAAGCUGCCGUUUGGGGAUGAGCCUGCGCUCUAUUAGUUAGUUGGCGGGGUAAAGGCCCACCAAGGCGAUGAUAGAUAGGCGGCCUUAACGGGUGGUCGCCCACACUGGGAUUGAGAUACGGCCCAGACUCCUACGGGAGGCAGCAGUCGAGAAUAGUCUACAAUGGCCGAAAGGCUGAUAGUGCGACGCCGCGUGAAGGUUACGGUCCUAUGGAUUUUAAACUUCUUUUGUAUGGAAGCAAUAAGGUGCACGUGUGCAUCGAUGAGAGUACCAUACGAAAUAAGCAAUCGGCUAACUCCGUGCCAGCCAGCCGGGUAAU